AAGUUGCAGCCCACAGAAAAGUAUUAUCCUCUGCACCCUGAAUUAGCAAAGUCCACAUUUUAUCUUUAUCAGGCAACCAAAGGUGGCAAGGUGUGCAAAGAUCAUCAACCCAAACACUAAAGAUGCGAAGUAAAUUAUAAAUGUCAAGCAAAUCGCAAAGGUAAACUGUGUAUUGAAGUCUCUCCUCAAUCUAAAUUUGCUUUCAUCUCCGAGACUCCGAUGAGUUGUGCAUUGGAUGCGGUAUCUGUGUCAAGAAAUACCCAUUUGAAGCUAUUCAAAUUAUCAAGCUACCGAAAGAUUUGGAUAAAGAUACAGCUCACCAGUAUGGCCCCAACACCUUCAAAUUACACAGGUUACCAGUCCCGAGGCCAGGGCAAGUUAUUCGCUUGCUUGGCACAGAUGGAAUUGGGAAGUCGACUUCUCUUAAGGUUUUGGCUAGGAAGGUGAAACCUAAUUUAGGCCGUUUUAAGGUACUACUCUUAUAUAUUUUGUAUCUCUGUUUGUGCUUGUGGGUUCAUUUUUAUACCCACGUGGAAUAUCUUUUGCAGAAUUCUCCACGUGGAAGAUAAUUUGAAGGUGCCGUCUCAGUUAGGGUGUCUUUAUCAUGUCCUUGCUUGUUCCACCUAUUGAUUAAAUAUCAAAUAUCAUCUGUUUGAUGCAGUAUGACAUCUGGUUUGGUUAUGUAUAAUUCACUGGUUAUGUACUUGUAUGUAACAGUACGCAAAAAGAUUAUCGAAUUCCUUUAAAAACAGCAUCUAUUCCUUUGCCACUCUGUGGGGUGAAUCUAUCCUAUGAUUGCUCAUUAGAAGAUGUUAAGAGAUUAAGUGGGAAAGUGGGUAUUGUUCACCUUUUUAUGUCAAUUUUGGUGAAUUCAAAAAAGCUACCCCUUAAAAAUGUCACAACAUGAUUUAUUUGGCUGUUUGUAAGGAAACAGCGUGGACAUAAUGGUACACAUGAAGGAUAAUCAACGCUAGGUUUUUUCCUUCCUUUUAGUCCAACUAUUUUGUAUGCACAUUCUCACAACACAAGCCACAGCACUUUCUCUGAUGCAAAGAAGAGUUGGUUUGUGUUGUCAUUUUGUUACUUUGACAUAUUUCUUUGUGCUUGCUCAAGUAACUGUCAUUUUGUUAAGUAUCCUGUAUCAUGCCUUUGAUGUAAUUGUGUUUCAUAGGCAGUCAUUAAACCCCAGUAUCUUGAUCGCAUCCCAAAAGCAAUGCAAGGUAAUGUAGGGCAAGUGCUCGAACAGAAAGAUGAGAGAUAAAAGAACGACUCUACGUUGAUAUUGAUUUGAAUAAGGUACUGGAUCGUAACAGAGGGGAUGUCUGGUGGAGAGCUUCAGAGAUUCUCUAUUGCUGUGGUUGCCAUACAGAAUGCAGAGGCUUAAAGCUGCCCAAGUUGUUGGAUCUCUGCUAAGGCGUAAUAGGUGCUCAAUCUUUUUAGGGGAAUAUAGAGAGAAUGAAGUACUCAGAAUCAUGCUUA